rnacentral:lncRNA from 1 species
UCAAGUUUGAAAUCAAAGUGUGAAAAGGUUUAGGACAUAAUGAGGAUGAAUGGAUGAAGAUGGAUUAUAAAACUUCUUAGAAGGUUCACCUCUUGAAAUCAUAUAGAAGAUGAUUCAAGUGUGUCCUUUGGAAUGGGCAAUGAAUAAUAACAAACAAACAAAGAAGAAAGUCAACAAAAGCGGAUACCGGGAGAUGUUGGAGCUGGCAGAUCAGGCAUAAAGCCUG